GGGGGCGUGGUGGAAUGGUAGACACAACGGACUUAAAUUUUGAGCAAAUAUUUGUAAGUUCUCAAAUUCAGAAAAACUUUUUUCUAAAAUAAUGCAAAAAGCAAUCCUGAGCCAAAGCUACAUUUUAUAAAAAAUGUUGAAAGGUGCAGAGACUCAAUGGGAACUACCUUAACUGGUAAAGAUAGAGUCCAUAUUUUUUGAAGUAGGAUAUAAACUAAAAUUUUUAUUUAAAACUACAAAAAAUAGAAAAUCCGUUGACUAUUUACGGUCGUGAGGGUUCAAGUCCCUCCGCCCCCA
rnacentral:tRNA from 1 species